GGGAAAAGGGGGGCGGGCCUAACACAUGCAAGUCGAGCGGAAACGAGUUAACUGAACCUUCGGGGAACGUUAACGGCGUCGAGCGGCGGACGGGUGAGUAAUGCCUGGGAAAUUGCCCUGAUGUGGGGGAUAACCAUUGGAAACGAUGGCUAAUACCGCAUAAUAGCCCGGUUCUUCGGAAUGGGUCUCAAAGAGGGGGACCUUUUAGGCCUCUCGCGUCAGGAUAUGCCCAGGUGGGAUUAGCUAGUUGGUGAGGUAAUGGCUCACCAAGGCGACGAUCCCUAGCUGGUCUGAGAGGAUGAUCAGCCACACUGGAACUGAGACACGGUCCAGACUCCUACGGGAGGCAGCAGUGGGGAAUAUUGCACAAUGGGCGCAAGCCUGAUGCAGCCAUGCCGCGUGUAUGAAGAAGGCCUUCGGGUUGUAAAGUACUUUCAGCAGUGAGGAAGGUGGGUAUGUUAAUAGCAUACACAUUUGACGUUAGCUGCAGAAGAAGCACCGGCUAACUCCGUGCCAGCAGCCGCGGUAAUACGGAGGGUGCGAGCGUUAAUCGGAAUUACUGGGCGUAAAGCGCAUGCAGGUGGUUUGUUAAGUCAGAUGUGAAAGCCCGGGGCUCAACCUCGGAAUUGCAUUUGAAACUGGCAAACUAGAGUACUGUAGAGGGGGGUAGAAUUUCAGGUGUAGCGGUGAAACGCGUAGAGAUCUGAAGGAAUACCGGUGGCGAAGGCGGCCCCCUGGACAGAUACUGACACUCAGAUGCGAAAGCGUGGGGAGCAAACAGGAUUAGAUACCCUGGUAGUCCACGCCGUAAACGAUGUCUACUUGGAGGUUGUGGCCUUGAGCCGUGGCUUUCGGAUCUAACGCGUUAAGUAAACCGCC
rnacentral:rRNA from 1 species